AGGAUGGUUCCAAAGCCAAGGGCAACACGGCGGGCGGCCAGCAGGCCAGCUCACAGUGGCGACAGACAUCCCUGGAUGAACAUCUGGAGCUUGGGGACAUCAAGGCUGACCUGGCCAGCUUCCGUUCCACCUGGACCAAAUACAUCCAGGAGAACAAGCAGAAGUGGAAGGAGAGGGCGGCCAGCGGCAUCACCAACCAAGUGUCCAUCGAGGAGCUGUCACCCUACGAGGAGGAGCCCCCCGUGCCCCCCACCCAGCAGCACAAGCACAAUGGCGAGGUGGAAUAGCACACGGC